AGUGCUGGGAUUACAGGCGUGAGCCACCACGCCUGGCCAGCCAACUUCUAUUAAUAUUUUAGAAAAAGGGGAUGCAAGUGCAGGUUUGUUACAAAGGUAUAUGAUGUGAUGCUGAGUUUUGGGGUAUGAAUGAAUAUGUCACCAAGGUAGUGAGCAUAGUAUCCAGUAGAUCAUUUUUUCAGCCCUUGCCCUGCUCCUUCUCUUCUACCUCUAAUAGUCCCUGUGUCUAUUGUUUUUAUUUUUAUGUCCAUGUGCACCCAAUAUUUAGCUCCCACUUAUAAGUGAGAAUAAGCGUUAUUUGGUUUUUUGUUUCUGCGUUAGUUAGCUCAGACUAGUGGUUUCCAGCUGUAUCCCCGUUGCUGCAAUGGACAUGAUUUUGUUCUUUUUUAUGGCUGUGUAGUAAUCCAUGGUGUAUGUAUACUGUAUUUUUCACCAUAGAUGGGCAUCUAGGUUGAUUCCAUGUCUUUUCUAUUGUGAAUACUGUUGUGCCAUGGGUGCAGGUGUCCUUUUGGUAGAACAAUUUAUUUUUUGGGGGGAUAGUUACCCAGUAGUGGGGUUGCUGGGUUGGUUGGUACUUCGACUCAUAGUUCUUUGAGAAAUAUCCGAACUGCUCUUCGUAAUGGCUGAACAAUUUACAUUCUGACCAACAGUGAAUGAGUGUUCCCUUUUCUCCACAGCCUUGCUGCCAUCUGUUUUUUUUUUUUUAAAUAUAUGAGGAAAGUCUUGCUCUGCCACCCAGGCUGGAGUGGAGUGGCAUGAUCAUGGCUCACUGCAGUCUCAGACUCCUGGGCUCAAGCAAUCCUCCUGCCUCAGCUUCCUUAGUAGCUGUGACUAUAGGCACACACUACACCAACACACACAGAUAAUUUAAAAUUUUUUUUUUUUUGGUAGAGAUGAGGUCUCACUAUGUUGCCCAGGCCGGUCUCCAACUUCUGACCUCAAGGGAUCCUCUAGCCUCUGC
rnacentral:lncRNA from 10 species